UCUCACUGUGACCUAGAAACUGGAGAUGGA
rnacentral:piRNA from 1 species